AUUGAACGCUGGCGGCAGGCCUAACACAUGCAAGUCGAGCGAGCGGCGGACGGGUGAGUAAUGUCUGGGAACCUGCCUGACGGAGGGGGCUAACUACUGGAAACGGUAGUUAAUACCGCAUACCAUCAGAUGUGCCCAGAUGGGAUUAGCUAGUGGGGGGGGUAACGGCUCACCACGGCGACGAUCCCUAGCUGGUCUGAGAGGAUGACCAGCCACACUGGAACUGAGACACGGUCCAGACUCCUACGGGAGGCAGCAGUGGGGAAUAUUGGACAAUGGGCGCAAGCCUGAUGCAGCCAUGCCGCGUGUGUGAAGAAGGCCUUCGGGUUGUAAAGCACUUUCGGCAGGGAAGCGUUACCCGCAGAAGAAGCACCGGCUAACUCCGUGCCAGCAGCCGCGGUAAUAC
rnacentral:rRNA from 1 species